UAUAAUCGCAAGGCUAAUCACAAUACAACAUCUGGCAAGCUCUGACGAUAUGAUAGACAAUGCAAUUUCCUCUGCAAAAUUGAAAAAUUAUUCUGGUACAGACGAGUGUUUUGAAGUAUUGCGAACAUGGGUUACAAAAACCUUAUAAAUAUACCCAAAUCUUGAUCGCAUUUCAAUCUUCAGCGACAGAUCCAGAAUUCAGUCUCAUCCAGUAAAGUCCAUCUCCAACAAAAUGAAGUUAAGUCUUUCCGUCAUCUUCAUUACCAUGGUACUGGUCUGCAGUGUGUACCAAUCCACUGUUUUGAGUGCUCAUACAGCAAUCAACUCUGCUAUUGAUCGAAGUGAACAGGUUGACUCAGCUAUGGAUCUAAGUGAACAGCUUGACUAUGAAACAGAAGUUACUGAAGACCAGGGAGAUUAUUGUCCAUCUUAUUGUUAAAAACCAGGUUAAUUGUGGUUCUCCAGCCAAUUUGACUCCAUAUUUUUGCCAUGAGAAUUCUACAGCUGCAGUCCCAGGGAAACAACAAAAUAUCUUCGGACACCUAUGAUAUAGAAUUACAAUAUUUAGAAAAAUUUGACAUAUGAGUAUAUCACUAAUCUGUACUAUGUACUAUUACCAUUUUAAUAAAAACAAGAAUGUUUCGGCUGGAUUUCAUUGAAUCAUAAGAGAAUAAAAACUGAGCAU